CCUACGGGUGGCUGCAGUGAGGAAUAUUGGUCAAUGGGCGCAAGCCUGAACCAGCCAAGUCGCGUGAGGGAUGACGGUCCUAUGGAUUGUAAACCUCUUUUGUCGGGGAGCAAGGCCCGCCACGUGUGGCCGGAAGGAGAGUACCCGAAGAAAACGCAUCGGCUAACCCCGUGCCAGCAGCCGCGGUAAUACGGAGGAUGCGAGCGUUCUCCGGAUUUAGUGGGUUUAAAGGGUGCGUGGGCGGAAGGUGAAGUCAGCGGUCAAAUGGCGGUGCUCAACACCGGCCUGCCGUUGAAACUGGUGUUCUUGAGUGAGCGAGAGGUAUGCGGAAUGCGUGGUGUAGCGGUGAAAUGCAUAGAUAUCACGCAGAACUCCGAUUGCGAAGGCAGCAUACCGGCGCACAACUGACGCUGAGGCACGAAAGCGUGGGGAUCGAACAGGAUUAGAUACCCCGGUAGUC
rnacentral:rRNA from 1 species